CCUCUCUCGUAUUUUCUUUUCCUCGAGAUUUUGGCUCCUGCUUUAAAAAGCCACCCUCUCCCCCCCUCCCCCUUUUCUUUUUUCUUUUUUUUUUUUUCCCCUCCUCCAAAUGUCACCUUACUUCUUAGUGGUGGGCUUAGAAAAGAGGUUUUGGUGUUCUGCCUGAAAUUAGCACUGUUUCGCUCAAUUUUGUCACGCUGAAUUACCGACUCGAUGGCUGUCAGACUUAACAGUUUCCUUUAGUGGCGAGGAGAGCUGCUUGACAGCAGGCUCAGCUAGAGAUCUCCUGCUCGGGGCGAUGCGUUUAUGAACAGGUGGGACGGUGUCAUCUUUUCUUUGCUGUGGGGCACUUUAUAAUGAAGUAAUCCCUGUCAUUAGGUUAUGCAAGGUGUUGCGGUGCGAGGGCAAAAACAAUGGAAGAGCGUUUUCACUGCUGUCUUUCUCAUCCAGGGCAAGGCAGUUGUCACCCACCGCUUUCCCGGUGAUAGGUAUUUUUUCUUGUGACCAUUUUGCAUUAAUAAGUGGAAGGCCUAUUAACCCUUUCUGUAGGGGCGCUGGCUGAUUCUAAGCAGAUGUCAUAUACAAACGUUUUAGGGUACAGACGGCACGCCCUAAGUUACAGCACAGAAGCAUUUUUCUGUUGUAUGAUCAGAUCUUAGGAUUGGAUCAGAUCUUAGGAUUGGCUUCCAGUAGCUCAGACCUUUUUUUGUCUCAUCUUUCAAUAGCACUGUGUUCUGACCGGGUCUGGAAAAGCAGGAGAAGCAACCCACAUGGUUAACCAUUAAAUAUUUCAAUUCACAAUGCUUAUUUGCCGUCUAGCCAACUAUCGUAUCACGUUGCUGAAGGAUAGCAUAGGGUAAGAGAUCACCUCCUUCAGUGAAAGCCAGAAGUGCCUCCAGUCCUGGUGCUGUUGUCCUGUCCAGCCCCAGCCAUAAUUUAGAGCAGGCACAGACAAGAGUGCUCUGCUUUUGCCUGCUGCCAUUAGCCUGAAGGAGCUGACAACGGUGAAUAUCUAAAAAUUUCUUGCUCCUCUCCUUUUCUCUACCCAUGCUCCCUACACAGGCAACAGGAACGGAGACUUCACUUCAGAAGGAACGUGCGUCGCUUCUGCGCCAGUGAGAAUCGCUCUGUGCCACCUUUGCGCCAAGACAUGCUAUAGGUUUCCUCUGUUUCUGCCCGGUCUUACGGCUGUGCGAGAACUUCAGCCUAUUAAACAGUCUUUUCCUGUGGUGUGGGGUGACGAAAGUCAGAAACGAAAGGAAUGUUUUCCUAAGACUUGCUUGUUUUAUUUAGUUUGGUUCAAAAUAGACUUCUGACAAGGAUAAUAAUAAAUGCCAGCGAGACGCUACAUUAAGGUGGACCUGAAGCUCAUUGCUUGCGAUGUGGGAACCACGACGCUUUCUUUGCUGAGUUCUUUGCGUUUCAGGAUUUUAAUCCUGUAGGCGUAUCUGCGUAUCAUGUUGGAUGCUUUAACCUUUGUAAUGCUAAGGGUGUUCCCUCUGUAGCCCGCUUUUCCCUUGUAACCACGCACCUGGAGGCUGCUGUCCUGGUGCUCUUACUGUGCUAUCCAAGUGCCCUUAUCCUCCGGGCCUCGCACUGACGCACUCUGACGUGUUUUUUCUGUCUGUUAGGUCUGGUUUCUCCUAAAAAUUGAUUACCCUGGGGUUUGGGGGUGGCGAUGUGAAAUGUUGAGCAGCCUCACUGACGGAGCGGUGCAGUAAUGACUUCUGUACCAAAUACUGCAUCCUGAAAGGGAAGUGUGGGUAAGACCACCUGAUAGAAAGAGUACAGUGUUAAAGUUGUACUUAAAGAACUCCAAAGGCAAUGAAGCGAGAAAUUAUGAAGCAGCAGUGAAAGUCACGGACCCUUGUCAUGAACAUACAUCCUGCCUUUUUUUUUUCCUUUUUUUUUUUUUUUUUCCAGAUCAUCACUUCUCUCCCUUUUGCAAUCUGUAGACCUUCUUACAAGAAAGCACAAUCAAGGAAGGUGAACAGAAGGAGAUAGGGUAGAUAACGUGGCAGAAUAUGUUUAAUUUAAUGACCUCACUUUGAAAAUCAUUGCCUAUAAAGAUCUAUUCCUGCUUUUCAGCUGUAAUUUCUAGCAUAUCUGUUGGAUUAUGUGAGUUACUUCAACAUUUCCACUACUGGUAGCAGUUCAGAGCAAAGACCCAGUGGCAUCUCUUGCUCUGUUGCUUCUGCAGAGUAAAAUGGUGUCCAACUGUAAAUUGAUGAAUCCUAAUGAUUUUCCUGUUAAUAGCAGCUGAAGAUCUGGUUCUCUAAACUCAGUGACUGUGCUGAGAGGGACAGUAGCUCCGCUUUGAGCCAGGAGGUUGUACUGUAGCCCUCCAGAGGUCCUUUGCAAACUGUAUUACUUUAUAAGUCUAUACAGAAGAAGAUUGCAUGAAGAACAUGGAGAAGUCUAAGAAGAUGGAGAGGGCCACUGAGCAACACAGAGAGCAGAAUAAGAAAACAUACUACGACUCAUUAUCUUUGGGUGCAUUUCUUCAAGCUUCACUAAUGAUAUUCUACUGUUAGAACGGAGGAGGGACCCACUACCAAGCCAGAUUUUUUGAACGGAAUUUAAUUUCCAAAUCCAUGCAAUAGUUUUGCUUGUUCGGUGUCCUAAUUGAAGGUUGUGUCCUCUACGUCCAAAACUUGAUUCGAAGCCACGACUUCUUUUGACUUGUAGAGAUAAAGAUAUGUAUCACUGGUAACUCACAGUAUUAUCUGAUGGUCAUAGUCCAUCGGGUGACCGCUCCACAAAAGGAAUGUAUUAGUGUUACUGAAAUUGGUGGUUAUUUUGUAUACAGCAAGCUUUAUCAGUCAGUCCAUGGAAGUUCAUACUUCAGAGCUGAUGACUUUAAGCAGCGGAUAAUCUACACAGGGCUGGCUACAUAUGCCAGCCGUUGGAUGGUAUAUAUUUGCCUGAGCAUGCCCUCCCUCCUGAGCAAUGGACUGGUAAGGAGGUGGGUGCAUUUUGGAAUCGGCUCUUAUACCUGUUAGAUGGACGUAGACGUAAAGUCUGCACACAGCACUCCUCAUCUGGAUAUUUCACAUCGGUAAUUGUGUAAUAACGUCAUGACAAAUCAUUGAAAGGUGCUUAUUAAAAAAAAAAAUAAAAAAUCCCGGCGCUAUCCUCUUGCAGCACAGCCUGUAACGCCGUCAAGGCUUUAUGUGGCACUUGUUCUAGGGUUUGUUCGGCUCCUGGGGCACAAACCAGUCACGGCAACGAGAGGAGAACAGACUCUCUUCUGUGGCCAAGUAGGUGAAAGGCUGCAUUUGUUGCAUGGUGUAGCUUUAACUGCACAAAGAGCUUGUGUGAGGGACAUAAAAGCCCUGAGUUUAAUCGGGGAGUCACGAGAUGGGGGGGGGAAAAGGUGAGAAACACGACAGGAAGGAAAGCGUGGAAAAGGGGAUACAUGGAGAAGUGCAAAGUGGGAGAGUUUUUGUAGGGGCCACACGCAGAAGGGGUAUGUCUGCUCUUCAGGGUAACGUAGAAAUACGUAGGCUAACUUGAGUAAGUGAAGGACAUCUUGCUGGGGAAAAAAACCCAGGGUAAAUUGGUAGCUCAGGUAUCUUUACCCAGACCUUUUAAAAGUGUUUUAAAAAAUUUAGUAGAAACCUCAAUUUUUGUGUUUGUUUUCUCAUCCCUUAUAGACCGUUGGUACGAUCAGAGAAGUUUCUUUUCAUCUGACUUCUAGAAAGGAUUAGAGUGUCCAUUAAUACCUGGCGGAUGAUUUUGACAGCAGCACCCAGCCUGGCACCAGCACAUGGAAACGCACUGCAGCUGCACAGUAGUCCUCAUGGAUGCAGGGGAAAAAAAAAAAAAUCCUCCUUUUUCUCCAGUUUAAAAAGCACGAGAUCCAUCUCUGGCCACUUGGUAAGGCCGGAUGGCUCCGUGGCACGCGGUGGGAAAAGGAGGCGGCAGGAGAGAGCGGUGAGCAAGGGGUCUGUGGGAAGGACAUGGAGUGGGGAUGUGAAGGGAAAAGAGGGGAUAGGAACUGAGGAUAUUGGGAGAAAAACAGAGUGAAGAUCAGAUUUAGCUGCAUCUUUGGACUUGUAGCUACCUUUAGUUACUCUGCGAAGGAAAAAUAGAUGUAGGAGAGCAAGGACUCCAGGUUUUCCCUCCCUCUCACUAGAGAGAAAGGCUGAGGAGCUCUGAACUUGGGCUGAGACGGGGGAAUAAUAAAUGCAAACACAGUGGGAAACAGCUAAAUGACCUCCUGCCUGGGGAAAAGGGUGCUGGAGCACGGAGCCUGAGGUGAGGGAACACAACGGGUAGGUAGGGAUGCCGUUGCAGCAUCACUUUAAUAACAAAAGUAAACUUCUCCUCCAUCCCUUAGGGGCAGACGCAAACUUUUCCUUCUUUCCUAACUAUAAUCAGAAAAAUAUCUAUUGAAUAAUAGAGUUUUCAACGUAAUUUUUUUCAGUUAUUCUGUACAGUACUGGUCAUUUUGCUUCCUCUGCUCCGUUACAUAGCCCGUGAUCAUGUGCUACUAGCGUUGGCUAAUUAAGCUGAUGUAUUUUAAUGCUAUUGAAAAUGAAGACAAAAUGCUA